UCUUGGUCAUUUAGAGGAAGUAAAAGUCGUAACAAGGUCUCCGUUGGUGAACCAGCGGAGGGAUCAUUACAAGAAGCCGAAAGGCUACUUCAAACCAUUGCGAACUCGUCCAAGUUGCUUCGGCGGCGCGGCACCCCCUAACGGGGGCGCCGCAGCCCUGCCUCUCCGGAGGUUCGGGGCGCCCGCCGGAGGUACGAAACUCUGUAUUAUAGUGGCAUCUCUGAGUAUAAAGCAAAUAAGUUAAAACUUUCAACAACGGAUCUCUUGGCUCUGGCAUCGAUGAAGAACGCAGCGAAAUGCGAUAAGUAAUGUGAAUUGCAGAAUUCAGUGAAUCAUCGAAUCUUUGAACGCACAUUGCGCCCGGUAGUACUCUACCGGGCAUGCCUGUUCGAGCGUCAUUUCAACCCUCAAGCUCUGCUUGGUGUUGGGGCCCUACGGCUGCCGUAGGCCCUGAAAGGAAGUGGCGGGCUCGCUACAACUCCGAGCGUAGUAAUUCAUUAUCUCGCUAGGGAGGUUGCGGCGUGCUCCUGCCGUUAAAGACCCAUCUUUAACCAAGGUGACCUCGGAUCAGGU
rnacentral:rRNA from 1 species